GACAGGAUUUCAGUCAGUGCUGCGUCUCAUCGUCAGUUUAACAGUAUACGUACUCAAAAGAUAUUAUAGGCAUGGUGAAACAUACGAUUUGACGCUUCGUUAUUUAAAUGCUUUGUUUUAUGAUAAAUUUUUUCAUUUUAUAUUUGGAUAAUUACCAAACACUGAUUUAUUUCUGAAUUAUUAUCAUUUUCGAUUUAAUUUUACUGUGCCAUUGGGAGACAAUGUGAAAGCUGAUGGCUGUUCUGAGCUCAUUACCUGCGAAUCGAAAAAGUUGCCCAGAAGAUUUUUAAGAGUCCCUUCAUCAAUAUCUUCAGGACUCGGGUCAUACAUGGCGCCUUCGGGCUCCAUAAGUUCCAAUACUGGCAUAAUUUUAGAUACGCUAGGUCGCCUUCCUUUGGACUUGGUGCUGACAAUACACAAGACUGUAAAAAGAAGACAUCUCGCAAAUGAUUGGAACUUCUAAUUUGAGGCAUCGCAACCAGCCAUGGAUCUACGACUAAAUCAGCAACUGCUGGCCGUUGAGUGCAAGAGAACCG